AAAAUUCUCAUUGUCCAAGAAUCAGCUGUAGCUCAUCUGGUUUAACAACGGGACUCUUUUGAGACUCCAUAAUUGGAAUGAGUACACUCUAAAUCCUUUAACGAGGAUCAAUUGGAGGGCAAGUCUGAUGCCAGCAGCCAUGGUAAUUCUAGCUCCAAUAGCUUAUAUUAAAGUUGUUGCAGUUAAAAAAGCUCAUAGUUGGAUCUCAUUUGCAGGCGGGUGGUCCAUCUACCAGUGGUUACUGCCGGUUCUGAACAGCCAGCCGGUUUCCUUUGAUGAUCUUCACCGGUUGUCUUGGGUGACCGGCAAGUUUACUUUGAAAAAAUUAGUGCUCAAAGCAGGUGUGACUCCUGAAUAAUGAUGCAUGGAAUAGGACCUCGGUUCUAUUAUGUUGGUUUUCGGAAUAUAAGGUAAUGAUGAAGAGGGACAGAUGGGGGCAUUCGUAUUGCGACGCUAGAGGUGAAAUUCUUGGACUGUCGCAAGACAAACUACUGUGAAAGCAUUUCCCAAGAAUGUUUCCAUUAAUCAAGAAUGAAAGUUAGAGGUUCGAAGGUGAUCAGAUAUAACCAUAAACGAUGCCAGCCAGCAAUCCAUCUGUGUUCCUCAAAUGACACGCUGGGCAGCUUCCGGGAAACCAAAGCUUUUGAGCUCUGAGGGAAGUAUGGUUGCAAAGCUGAAACUUAAAGGACUUGACGGAAGGGCACCACCAGGAAUGGAGCCUGCGGCUUAAUUUGACUCAACGCGGGAAAACUUACCCAGCCCAAACACAGGAAGGAUUGACAGAUAAAGAGCUCUUGAUUCUGUGGGUGGUGGUGCGUGGCCGUUCUUAGUUGGUGGAGCGAUUUGUCUGGUUAAUUCUGAUAACGAACAAGACUCUGGCCUACUAAAUAGAUGCUCCGAUCCUUCGAGUGAGACGUUCUUCUUAGAGGGAGAAGCGGCGUUUAGCCACACGAGGCAGAGCAAUAACAGGUCUGUGAUGCCCUUAGAUGUCCGGGGCUUCAUGUGCGCUACAUUGAAGGAAUCAGCGUGUGCUUUCCCUGUCCGACAGGACUGGGUAACCUGUUGAACCUCCUUCAUGCUGGGGGGUAGGGGCUUGUAAUUGUUCCCCUUAAACGAGGAAUUCCCAGUAAGCACGAGUCAUAAGCUCAUGUUAAUUACGUCCCUACCCUUUGUACACAUCGCCUGUUGCUACUACCCAUUGAAUGAUUUAGUGAGGUCUUCGGACUGGCUUUCGAAGCGGGUUUUGGGUUGCGUCGGCGUGCCGGAAAGAUGACCAACCUUAAUCAUUUAAAGGAAGUAAAAGUCGUAACAAGGUUUCCAUAGGUGAAGGAUCAUUA
rnacentral:ncRNA from 1 species